UUAGUUUUUGUGGUAACUCAAUAAUAUGAAAUAAAUCAGUGGUUCUAAUAAUAUUAAAUCUUGUUGAUUAUUAUGUCAUAAUCUCAAAUAAAACUAAGGACAAAUAAUAACCUUUUGCUAUCUCUGUCUCGCGCGUGGGAUUAAAAGCGAUAGCAAUUAAUGUCUUGUCAAAACCGGCACCAAUAUAACCUAUAUAUGUCUAAGAGUACGUCAAAUGAGUAGAAUUGUUUGAAGUUAAAUAUUUUUCUCCUAAAACUUCGCGGUUCCUAUACGUAUUGAGCAGCUAAAUAGUAUCUAUUUUUAAACAUAAUAAUUAUUAAAUCUUUUAAACUUUACUAAUAAUAAAUAAACAAAAUAAUCCUAGUCAAAACCGUUAAGUAUAAACAUUUCAAACAUAUUUUCUCGCGUUAAAAAUAUUCUACUCGAAAAGAGACCUUGAUUACAUUAUAUAAUGUUAAAGGUGGGUUAACACAGGUCAAAUUUUGAAAAUAUAUUAAUCUAUAUAGAAAUUGUUACAAUAUAGCGUGUAAAUAUCUUGUUGAGGGUUGAAAUUUAGCGUAGAGUAGAGAACAAUUUAAAAUAGAGGUAUGUAUGGCGCUAAACGAACUUUAAAUUCUAAUUCUAAUGACAACUGUCUGUUAAUUAAUCUGCGGAUGUAUAUCUAAUAUUAUGUAAAAAAAUUUACGAGUUUUAUGAACUUUUAACUUGAAAUUUAACCGAAUUUAAUCUACUAUUAAUUUUUGGGAAAUUAUUUUACAAAAGUGUUUUUAGGUGAAAUAUAAAAUUAUUGUUUUAUAAAUCUAUUUUUUUAAUCAAUAAAAAAAAUUUAAACAAUUUUAACAAAGGAUAUAUUUUAUCAAAAAAGUCAAUGGUAACUUUUUAUAGAAGGAAAAUAAUGAAUAUUUGGAUCGUUUUCUCAGUAAUUUUAAUUAAAAGUUUAGCAAUGUCUAAGCAAUAUUUCAGUUCAUGAAAAUGUAUCCCAAUGUGUGUAGAAAAUUAACUACUACUAAUUAAUCAUUUAAAGAGCUAUAAAAUUAUAUAAUUAUAAAAACACUUGUUACUAUUAAAAGUUUAUAAUAUAAUAAAAUUCUUGCACGCAGUUUUAAACAAAAAUUUAUUAAUGAUAUGUCUACAAGUAAAGCUUUAUAUUUUUAAAAUUACUACAUAUUUAAUAACUAUAUUAAAGUAACACUAUUUUCUUUUAUCUUUACACUUUGAAACAAAUUACAUUUAUAAUUCGUAAUAAGGGCGAGUCACAUCUGAGCUUAUUUUGACUCUUAUCGUGACGGAAUAAAGUCUAGAAUAAUAAAAUCAUUGUCUACUACAUAUAAAAGUUAGCACAAUUAGAAGUAUAUCUUUGCAAAGUUAUUGUUAUAAUACGAACUUAUUAAUGCAGAAAGUGCUAUCUAAUUGUACUGAUUCUUUCAAUUCUACCGUAAGUUGUAAAUAUGUUGAAAAUUAAUACUAAUAUUAUAUGUAACACAAUGUUAUAUUCGAUAACAAAGUUGUAUUUUACUCUUACUGAGAAUGGCAAUUGAAUGUUUUCGCGUAGAUUGUUCGUCUUUUUAAGCAAUAUUUUUUUAUAAACCAUUUUAUUUAAUGCACAUUUAUUUGUGUCUAUUACGUUGGAAGCUAUUAUUUGUAUUCGUGAUGGAAAAGAUUGGAAGAACGGUAGAAUGAGUUCCAUUCGUGAACGAAUCCAUGAAAUGACAUACAAUUGCUAGUCUUACGCAUUUAAUUUAGGGUUGUUUGCGGAUAUUCUGCGUUGAGGUGAGAUAGGAUAAAAUAAAAAUAUGAAUAUUUUUUAAUGAAAAUCUCUUCAAGAUUUUUUGAAAUAUUUGAAUUAAAAUAUUAGUUAGAAUAUCUGCAAGCAAGUUGUUAGCUCACACAGUAUAUUGUUGUUAGAAGAACUCAUGAGACUAUGUAACUAUUUUUCGUGAAUUUACUGUAAUCCUUUUUACUGUUUAAUCUUUGAGAAUGGUGAUAUUUUGAACUAUUGUCUUGUUUAGGACACCUUUCGUACUGUAAAUAUGUUGACGUUGAUGUUUGAAUAUAUUAUGUAAGAUAUGUCUUGAAUUUAUUAUAUAUAUAUAUAUAUAUAAAAAAUUAAUCGGUUAUACAGAAUUGAAAUUCUUGCAUAUUUUAAAUUGUGAUUGAUUGCUGUUCGUUAGCGAAACAAAAGAAUAAAAUGUAUCGUGCGUCGUCGGAAUAUCUGACAACAAACAUCAUGACAAUAAGUAAAUAUUCUAUUUUUCCGAUUGAUAGAGAAAAUGCUCUCAUCGUCUCUAUGAUAUAUUUUAUGCGUAUAAAUUAGAAAAAGAAACAUAAUUAGGUUAAUACUUGAAUGUAAAUCUGAUGAGGGCUUCGUUGUUAGUCGUUAGCUUAAUUUCUCUUCAGGCAUCAAACCGGCCAAACGUAAUGCAUUUAUCUUAAUCGUUCCUUAUAAAAUAUUCUAUUCAAUGGAUAUUGUUUUCUAUUAGACGUGUAAGCAUAAUAUUGCAUUUAGUUUAAUACGACAUCGUAUGUUUAAAACACAUAAUCGAUCGUGCCAACUGUCGGAGUUGUUUAUAUGUAUGUAUGUGAUAAAAUUGAGGCCCUAAAAUUCGAAUACUUUGCGUAGUAAUUGAUUCUCUAUAUUUAAUAUGAAAUUGUUAAUGAGAUACCUGCAAUAAAUAUCAUAUCUUUUCAAUUCACGAUUACAUAUUUACAAAUGUUCUUUAUAAAUAAUACUUGAACUUUCGACUUUUACUCACAAUUAAUUCACAAAGUCUUAAGUAUAGUCAAUAAUCAUUUUGCAAGCGUAUCACAGUAUUUUUGUCGCCGACAAAUUAAUGUAGGUUUACUUUAGUGAGAUAAAAUAAUGUUUAAAUUAGACCCUAAUUGUAUAAGUUUCGCGGCAAUAUUUAAGUGUUAUGUUAGCUUUAAAUUAUAUUUAUAAUUUCUCCUUGAUUAUCGUUUAGAAUCCCUCCAAUUUCUUUAUAAUUGUGGCAACGACGAUACUGUUAUGUAUUGCUCAAUUAUGCUCAUUUUUACCCUUAUAUUUAAUUGAUAUUAAUCAUAUUGUAUGUUCGUUAGGUUUAAUAAUUCCAGGCUAGCUUCUUUUAUUUUUAUUUCUUUGUCGACAUGAUCUGUGGCAGUUUGCAGAAUAUCUGCCUGAUGUACUUAGAAUAGAUGAAUGAAAUAAACAUUUACCUAGAAUAA